rnacentral:rRNA from 1 species
AGCUCCAGUAGCGUAUGCUAAAGUUGUUGCGGUUAAAAAGCUCGUAGUUGGAUUUCUGGUGUGGCGUUCCUGGUCCACAGGCCCUUUGAGGCCUCGUGAGUACCGGUUGUGACGCUUGCCAUCCUUCCGGGGAGCGCGCGGGCUUUACUGUCUGCGCGCGACCCGGAUCUUUUACUUUGAACAAAUUAGAGUGUUUAAAGCAGGCUAUUGCUGUGAAUACCUUAGCAUGGAAUAAUAAGAUAGGACUUUUGGCCUGUUUUGUUGGUCUUGAGGACAGAAGUAAUGAUUGAUAGGGACAGUUGGGGGUGCUAGUAUUGAACGGCCAGAGGUGAAAUUCUUGGAUUCGUUCAAGACUAACUAAUGCGAAAGCAUUCACCAAGGAUGUCUUCUUUAAUCAAGA